rnacentral:rRNA from 1 species
CCUACGGGGGGCUGCAGUGGGGAAUAUUGGACAAUGGGGGCAACCCUGAUCCAGCCAUGCCGCGUGAGUGAUGAAGGCCUUCGGGUUGUAAAGCUCUUUUGGCGGGGACGAUGAUGACGGUACCCGCAGAAUAAGCCCCGGCUAACUUCGUGCCAGCAGCCGCGGUAAGACGAAGGGGGCUAGCGUUGUUCGGAAUUACUGGGCGUAAAGCGCGUGUAGGCGGUUUGCCAAGUUGGGUGUGAAAGCCUUGAGCUCAACUCAAGAAAUGCACUCAG